UCUGGUCUAUCUUAUAGGAGGGACUAGAUAUCACUCUGUCUAUCUUAUAGGAGUGGUUCUAGAUCACUCUGUCUAUCUUCUAGGAGUGGUUCUAGAUCACUGUCUGUUAUAGGAGUGGUUCUAGAUCACUCUGUCUAUGUUAUAGGAGUGGUUCUAGAUCACUCUGUCUAUCUUCUAGGAGUGGUUCUAGAUCACUCUGUCUGUUAUAGGAGUGGUUCUAGAUCACUCUGUCUAUGUUAUAGGAGUGGUUCUAGAUCACUCUGUCUAUGUUAUAGGAGUGGUUCUAGUGCUCUCUGUGUCUGAGGGGAGGCACUAACAUAAUUAUCAUGAAGUUCAUUAAAUCUUUAAGCCAGAGGUGUUAAUAGCGACAGAUUUCCACCAUCAGUGGUAGAUGUGUAGAGACUAAUCUAUGAGAUGAGGUAGUGUUGAUGAACAGGGCAGGAAGUCGUUUCCUACGAUAGUAACAGGUACUAGAGGUGAACCAUCUGACUGUUUUACUGCUCAAUUCAGUUAUACAGCACCAGACGUCUUGAUCGUUAACUCAUAUCUGAGAUGAUCUGAUGUGUUGAGGGUGAAGGUGUUGAGGGUGAAAAUGUCUUUGUGAAGGUGGAGGGGGUGAAGAUGUCUUUGUGAAGGUGGAGGGGGUGAAGUUGUCUUUGUGAAGCUGUCUUUGUGAAGCUGUUGAGGGUGAAACUGUUGAGGGUGAAGAUGUCUUUGUGAAGGUGUUGAGGGUGAAGCUGUCUUUGUGAAGGUGGAGGGGGUGAAGCUGUCUUUGUGAAGGUGUUGAGGGUGAAGCUGUCUUUGUGAAGGUGUUGAGGGUGAAGCUGUCUUUGUGAAGGUGUUGAGGGUGAAGCUGUCUUUGUGAAGGUGUUGAGGGUGAAGAUAUCUUUGUGAAGCUGUUGAGGGUGAAGAUGUUUUUGUGAAGGUGCUCAUUACAGUAAGUCUGCAUUACAAAUAGCAGCCUAUUCCCUUCAUAGUAAGCCUCUGGUCUAAAGUAGUGCCCUAUAUAGGGAAUAGGGUGCCGUUUAAGGAUGCAGGUCCUGUGUUUCAGUCUCCUGGUCUGUUUGUCGGUAAUCAUUCCUCCUGAUCUGCCAUCGCUGCUCCCAAGGCACGCUGCUGUCCUGAAGUGUCCAUGUUGCUAUGGUGACAGGUUGCCAUGCUGACUGCUUUCUGAUUGGUUGGCUUAGAGAGAGGUGUCUGUCUGUGUAGAUGGAAUAUGUUUUUCCAGUUGUGCUCUCUCGUCUGCGUCUUACAGUGUCAAUGUAAUGUCUACCUUUGUUCAGGUUCAAAUCCUUUUGUCAUCCCGUCACUGGGCAGUUUGUUCACAGCACAACAAAUAGUAUUUGUGUAUUUUUUAAAGCAACAAAGUCCUAUAAUUCAACACUCCAUUGGAAUCCACGAUGCCAAUAUCAUUUUUCCUUCUGGGGGGUAAAUAAAGUGUACCAGUCUUUACAUUCUGGAAUUCCUAAAUCCCAAAGUCCCCUUUUUCCUCUGUGGAGUGUUGGUGGUGAUCCAGGAUGAGCUGCGGGGUCGAGCUCUGAGCCUGAGUAGCUCCUACGCUGAGAGGAGCAGGCAGGACCAGCCUUAGGCCCCAGGCAGCUUCUAUUUGAUGCUGGAAUCCCCUAGGUGAGGAUGCUGGGGUUGGCUGGGCGCGAGAUUUACUCUGAUCCUCGGGGGCUCCAGGAUUCUUUUCUCUCUUUUCCUGUGUCCCAAAAGGCAACCUCUAUUCCCUACAUAGUGCACUACUUUCCAUUGGUGGUGACUGUGAUUCAGUAUUCCAGGGGUACACAUGAACAAGCCUUGCUGUUGUUGUGGUCCUGAGGAAAAUGACCCUCUCUGGGACUUCCUGCCAGGGCUGAGGAGUUAACAACACAUGAGUUCUUCAGAUCUGGCUUGUCGUUGUAGAGGACUAAGGUCCCAGUUUAAGGCAGGUAGGAAAGCUUGGUCUGUGUUGGUACCUACACAGCAUUUUAACAGCAGGUUAUACUCGGAUGCAUGUUCCUGUGUGUGUGUGUGUGUGUGUGUGUGUGUGUGUGUGUGUGUGUGGAAGAUGUAUUGUAGAGAAAACAGAGAUAAAUCACCUGAUUUGACAGUCAGAAGAACAAUGACAUGAAACAUCAAUUAAACUACAGCAGGAUGGAGAGAGAAAGGAGAGCUGCUCUGCUCACACACGCACGCACGCACGCACGCACACACACACACACACACACACACACGCACAAGCACACGCACACGCGCACACGCACACACACACACACUCUUGUCUCUAUCAGAG
rnacentral:lncRNA from 1 species